CACACUAAUCGCUCGGACCAGUUUUGUAUCUUUGGACAUCAAUGUUCAAUUGCUGGCGACCGUCUUAACUCUAAUGGCCAUAAUGCCUAUUUGGGAUGAAACUCCACUCACUUCAGGGCGCACGGUACGUCAGGAUUCUUCACUGCGCCACUUGGGCCACCAAGUCAGCCCAGAACGUUCCAUAAUCCUUCAAAACAGUGCCGCUGGAACAUAAAUAUUUUUCAUACUUCCGAUUACGUUACUUCCGGUGACAAAUAAAGCUAUCCGACUACCUACGGUUAACGUCCGAUGAAAAUUCGUAGCAGUCGCCAAGUUUUCUCUACGUUUUACGUUUAAAUUGGACAAGAGGAAGUUACCAGUGUUGGCGUGAAUCCGUUUGCCACGUUAAACGAGUCAACUUACGUAAAGUACACUUGACCCUGAGAAUUAUGAGGAGCGUUCCAAAUGAGUGUGGCCUGCUGU